GGUAUUGUGGCUCAGCGGUAGAGCGCUCGCCUAACAUGUGAGGCCCUGGGUUUGAUCCUCAGCACCA
rnacentral:tRNA from 1 species